rnacentral:rRNA from 1 species
UACGAAGGGUGCAAGCGUUACUCGGAAUUACUGGGCGUAAAGCGUGCGUAGGUGGUUCGUUAAGUCCGUUGUGAAAGCCCCGAGCUCAACUUGGGAAUUGCAGUGGAUACUGGCGAGCUAGAGUGCGGUAGAGGAGAGUGGAAUUCCCGGUGUAGCAGUGAAAUGCGUAGAGAUCGGGAGGAACAUCAGUUGCGAAGGCGGCUCUCUGGACCAGCACUGACACUGAGGCACGAAAGCGUGGGGAGCAAACAGG